GAUGAACGCUAGCUACAGGCUUAACACACGCAAGUCGAGGGGUAACAAGAGAAAAGCUUGCUUUUCUCGUUGACGACCGGCGCACGGGUGAGUAACGCGUAUCCAACCUGCCUAUAACUAGGGAAUAACCUUGCGAAAGUAAGACUAAUACCCUAUGAUUUCCUUUGAUGACAUCAGAUUAGGAAUAAAGAUUUAUCGGUUAUAGAUGGGGAUGCGUCUGAUUAGCUUGUUGGCGGGGUAACGGCCCACCAAGGCAACGAUCAGUAGGGGUUCUGAGAGGAAGGUCCCCCACAUUGGAACUGAGACACGGUCCAAACUCCUACGGGAGGCAGCAGUGAGGAAUAUUGGUCAAUGGGCGGAAGCCUGAACCAGCCAAGUAGCGUGCAGGAUGACGGCCCUAUGGGUUGUAAACUACUUUUAUACAGGAAUAAAGUUAGCCACGUGUGGUUAUUUGUAGGUACUGUAUGAAUAAGGACCGGCUAAUUCCGUGCCAGCAGCCGCAGUAAGAC
rnacentral:rRNA from 1 species